rnacentral:rRNA from 1 species
ACUUUACAAUGCGGGAAACCGUGAUAAGGGGACACCGAGUGCUAGCAUCAUAUGCUAGCUGUCCAGGCGUGUAAACUACGCCUGUUAGCAAGGCGGCAGACGGUGCCAGCGCCGCGGUAACACCGGCGGCUCGAGUGGUGGCCGCUAUUACUGGGCUUAAAGGGUCCGUAGCUUGAUAACUGGGUCCCUUGAGAAAUCCGCCAGCUCAACUGGCGGGCGUUCAGGGGAAACUUGUUUUCUAGGGACCGGGAGAGGUGAGGGGUACUGCCGGGGUAGGAGUAAAAUCCUGUAAUCCCGGUGGGACCACCUAUGGCGAAGGCAUCUCACCAGAACGGGUCCGACAGUGAGGGACGAAAGCUGGGGGAGC